rnacentral:lncRNA from 8 species
GUGGCAGAAGACAUGGGACUCUGAGCACACGGGAUGGCAUUUAUAUGCCCUCCAAAAAAAGGUUGGUGGACCAAGAUUCAAAGGUCAGUUAGUAGGGCUCUUUUUAGUUCCUCAGAAGCAUUGAGUUAGGUGGGAGGAUUUAGAAAUGUGGAGCUUAUGUUGUAAACAGUGAUGACCUCACACUCCAGCACAGUAGGUGGCGUCAUACACCUUUUAACAUUUGGUUGCAGACUGCCAUUAUAUCAUAGAAGAAGAAGAAGAAGAAGAAGAAGAAGAAGAAUCAUCAUCAUCAUCAUCGUCAUCAGAGGAACGUGAAGGAACCUCCCUCCAACCGUGCUUGCACCAAUCCAAUGCUUCCUACAGUGCCCGAGGGGGACUGAACAAGUGCACACUUCGGGAGAGAUGAAACGGUGGGAGCUCAUUGGAAAUAUUUAUUUGUAUAAAGUGACAGUUAUAGAUAGCCGCUGUAGAUUUUUCUAUAGAGAAAACUGGGACCACUUGAUUCUCAGGAGCAUCAGUAAAAAUGAUACAAAGCUUGCGCAUCGUGAGAAGACAUCUGUCUCUCUCAAUGAGGGUGUCAGUGAGGGUCCCAGUGAGUAUGUGGAGGGGUUAACAUGGCACCAGGUGCAUCACCAGGCUGUGCUGAAUAACAGAUUACAGAGUAAGCAAGCCAAGCUUAUGGAACCAGUGUAAGUGGCAGCACAUGCAGACAGCAUUACAAUAGAGCUGUAUUCUAUUGUUUGAAUUCUAGAUUAUAUUAUAAACCGAGUGGUUCGAGCCCUGAAUGCUAAUUGGCUGAAAGCCACUGGUAUAACAAUUGAAUUGAAUUUUUACUGUUCUAAAUACGUUGGUAAUCAGUUUAUAAAAGCAAUAAGGCUCCUCGUGGUUUGUGAUGUAUGGUAAAUAUACCACGACUAAGGGCUGUUUCCAGGCACUACGCGUUGCAUCGCGCUAAAGAACAGCCCUUAGCCGUGGUAUAUUGGCCAUAUACCACACCCCCUAGUGCCUUAUUGCUUAAUUACUGUAUACCAUUAUGGUAAAUACUAUGUAGUACAUACUUGCUUUAUAACGUACUUCAUAAUGUCUUUUCAUGAAGUUCUACCACUAUUGGAUGUUUAUCUUGAUGAUUAUGUUAAGUGACUUUGGGUGUUUCAAAUCAAAUUUUAUUGGUCACAUACUGUGUUUAGCAGAUGUUAUUGCGGGUGUAGGGAAAUGCUUGUGCUUCUAGUUCCGACAGUGCAGCAAUAUUUAACAAGUAUUAUCUAACAAUUUCACAACAUAUACGCAAUACACACAAAUCUAAGUAAAGGAAUUAAGAAUACAUAAACAUAUGGACGAGCAAUGUCAGAGCAGCAUAGAUACAGUAGAAUAGUAUAGAAUACAGUAUAUACAUAUGAGAUGAGUAAUGCAAGAUAUGUAAACAUUAUUAAAGUGACAUUAUUAAAGUGACUAGGGUUCCAUUUAUUAAAGUGGCCAAUGAUUUAUUCUAAUUAAAAACAAAUUCUGAAGGCAAACACCAUGCUCUACCAACUGAGCCACACGGGACCAUCCUGGUCUUAUCCAUUUACAUGGAUAAGACCAGGAUUACUCAACUAUGGACUGGAAUACUCCACUCUGCCUCUAAGAUGUCUACUUAGACACCGUCUUCUGCUUAAACAGAAUUAUCUCUGUUUUAUUACAUUUGUUGUCAUUUAGCAGACACUCUUAUCCAGAG